GAUGAAGAACGUAGCGAAAUGCGAUACUUGGUGUGAAUUGCAGAAUCCCGUGAACCAUCGAGUCUUUGAACGCAAGUUGCGCCCGAAGCCAUUAGGCCGAGGGCACGCCUGCCUGGGCGUCACACGUCGUUGCCCCCCCAUCUACUCCUUCGGGAUUGCGGGGGGCGGAUGAUGGCCUCCCGUGCGCCUCGUCGCGCGGUUGGCAUAAAUACCAAGUCCUCGGCGACGCACGCCACGACAAUCGGUGGUUGCGAAACCUCGGUUGCCCGUCGUGUGCGGUCGUCGCGCAUCGAGGGCUCGAAAAAAUUGCCGGGCUCCGGCUGGGCUUUCAACGCGACCCCAGGUCAGGCGGGGUUACCCGCUGAAUUUAAGCAUAUCAAUAAGCGGAGGA
rnacentral:misc_RNA from 1 species